rnacentral:tRNA from 1 species
AGGAGCCACUGGGAUUUGAACCCAGGACCUGAGGAUCUGCAAUCCUCCGCUCUGCCACUGAGCUAUAACGCC